rnacentral:rRNA from 1 species
UGAACGCUGGCGGCGUGCCUAACACAUGCAAGUCGAACGGGGUAUGACGCUGAGGAGACUUCGGUCAAAUCUUGUUGUAACUUAGUGGCGGACGGGUGAGUAACGCGUGGAUAGCCUGCCAUACACAGGGGGAUAACAGUUAGAAAUGACUGCUAAUACCGCAUAAGCGCCCGAGGGGGCAUCCUCUCGAGUGAAAAGCGAAUACGGUGUAUGAUGGGUCCGCGUCCGAUUAGCCAGUUGGCGGGGUAAGAGCCCACCAAAGCGACGAUCGGUAGCCGGCCUGAGAGGGUGAACGGCCACAUUGGGACUGAGAGACGGCCCAAACUCCUACGGGAGGCAGCAGUGGGGGAUAUUGCACAAUGGGGGGAACCCUGAUGCAAGCGACGCCGCGUGAGUGAAGAAGUUAUUCGUAAUGUAAAGCUCUAUCAGCAGGGAAGAAGCAGACGGUACCUGACUAAGAAGCACCGGCUAAAUACGUGCCAGCCGCGGC